rnacentral:rRNA from 1 species
UACGGGGGGAGCAAGCGUUGUUCGGAUUUACUGGGCGUAAAGGGCGCGUAGGCGGCCUCCGCAAGUCAGUUGUGAAAUCUCCGAGCUUAACUCGGAAAGGUCAACUGAUACUGCGGGGCUAGAGUGCGGAAGGGGCAACUGGAAUUCUUGGUGUAGCGGUGAAAUGCGUAGAUAUCAAGAGGAACAUCUGCGGCGAAGGCGGGUUGCUGGGCCGACACUGACGCUGAGGCGCGAAAGCUAGGGGAGCGAACGGG